UGCAAGUCGAACGAGUUCUCGCUUGAUGAUCGGUGCUUGCACCGAGAUUCAACAUGGAACGAGUGGCGGACGGGUGAGUAACACGUGGGUAACCUGCCCUUAAGUGGGGGAUAACAUUUGGAAACAGAUGCUAAUACCGCAUAGAUCCAAGAACCGCAUGGUUCUUGGCUGAAAGAUGGCGUAAGCUAUCGCUUUUGGAUGGACCCGCGGCGUAUUAGCUAGUUGGUGAGGUAAUGGCUCACCAAGGCGAUGAUACGUAGCCGAACUGAGAGGUUGAUCGGCCACAUUGGGACUGAGACACGGCCCAAACUCCUACGGGAGGCAGCAGUAGGGAAUCUUCCACAAUGGACGCAAGUCUGAUGGAGCAACGCCGCGUGAGUGAAGAAGGCUUUCGGGUCGUAAAACUCUGUUGUUGGAGAAGAAUGGUCGGCAGAGUAACUGUUGUCGGCGUGACGGUAUCCAACCAGAAAGCCACGGCUAACUACGUGCCAGCAGCCGCGGUAAUACGUAGGUGGCAAGCGUUAUCCGGAUUUAUUGGGCGUAAAGCGAGCGCAGGCGGUUUUUUAAGUCCUGAUGUGAAAGCCCUCGGCUUAACCGAGGAAGCGCAUCGGAAACUGGGAAACUUGAGUGCAGAAGAGGACAGUGGAACUCCAUGUGUAGCGGUGAAAUGCGUAGAUAUAUGGAAGAACACCAGUGGCGAAGGCGGCUGUCUGGUCUGUAACUGACGCUGA
rnacentral:rRNA from 1 species